GACUGCGGUAAGGUAGUAUAUUGACUGUGCUAAGGUAGCAUAAUAAUUUGUCUUAUAAUUGAAGUCUGGAAUGAAUGGUUUAAUGAGAAGAGUUCUGUCCCCUUUUUAAAAAUUGAACUUCAUAGUUAAGUAAAAAAGCUUAAAUAAAUUUUUAAGACGAUAAGACCCUAUAAAGCUUUACUUAUAUUUGAUAAAAUGUAAGUAUAUUUAAAUCACUUAAGUUAAGCUGGGGCGGCAAUUUAAUUAAACAUUUUUAGUUAAAACAUAUUGAAUGAAUUAAAAUAAUGAGGAUUUCCUAAUUUAAAAUCAAGUUACUUUAGGGAUAACAGCACAAUUAAGUCUAAGAGUUCUUAUCGAAGAAAAAGAUUGUGACCUCGAUGUUGGAUUAAG
rnacentral:rRNA from 1 species